rnacentral:misc_RNA from 1 species
GCCCCCGAAUCAUGCCUAAGAAUUCUAGUCAUUCAUAGCAAAUUUCCUCAAACGCCAACACCCUGGCACAAAAAAUUCCAGCCAAUGAUAUGGUCUUAGCCAGUGUUCCCUUAAAGUUAAAACAAUAACUGGGUGUAAGGAAUGUAAUGAAUAAGUUUUUAUUUAUGAUUCAACACCAGUGACAUUUUAGUAUGCUCCACUACGUAACAUUUCCAAUAGAACACCAAAUUUUGGAUACUGAGACAAAAUCACAAGGUUUUUCCUUCUCUGAGUACUCAAACACCAAAUUUAGCAGAAACGAUAAGAUGUUCAAGACAACUGAACACAGUCGGAGAAGCAAAUAUAACCAACUCACCUAGGGAAACAGAAACUGACAUACUAUAACUAGACGUUAUAUGCUUAACAAGUGUAUGCCCACUAACAUUUCCUUCAUAGAAAGAAAAAAUAAA